rnacentral:lncRNA from 1 species
GUUUUUUUAAAAAAUGAUGACUUUUAAAAAACAAGGAGAAGAAAAAGAAACCACUAAUUUUUUUCUUUUGAAAAAAGUGGCAACACUGUUCUAUUUUGCGAUUUUAUUUGUGCACGUAUGCGCACUCUUUUGAUAAAGGGCAGUAACCAGUAUUAGGGCCUAUCUAAAACCUUUUGUUGUUGGUUUUUUUUUCCCUCAAGGCAGUCUCUAAAGCUGUGUGAAAUUUUCUCUGCAUCUCUGUACAGAGAAUAAACCUCCCUCUUGUGUCUCUUUUCUCCCCCUCCCUUCCCCCAUCCAGUGGUACUUCUACUAAAUUGUCUUGUUUUUUUAUUUUUUAAAUAAACUGACAAAUGACAAAGUGGUGAG